GGCUCCAUAGUGUAGUGGUUAGCACGUCUGCUUUACACGCAGAAGGUGUCUUGGGUUCACGCCCCAGGUGGAACCA
rnacentral:tRNA from 1 species